CCUUGUCCAAGACAGAAAAAAAAAAGUCUUUCCGAAUUUUUUACUUAAUUAGCUUAAUUCUGUAGCUAUUUAUUCUUAUAUUUUUAAGAAAUAUAAAUAUUUAUACUAAUAGCAUAAAUCUUGAGAGAGAAAAAUAAUAAUUUAAUAGCCGAAUUUUUUAUCCCGAAUUUUUAAUUAGUGAACGUGUAAUAUCCGGAUAAAUCACGUAUCUGAAUAAUUAAUAAAUCUAUUUUUAACCGUAUUUUCAACAAAUUUAAAAAUUAGAAAAAAAAUUUUAUCCGAAUUAUACUCAUUCCAGAUUUUUGCCGAUCCGAAUUAACUAACUAUAGUAUAUAUAAACUCUUACUCUCUUUAGAAUAUAAGAAUAUAGGAGUAGCAUUACUUUUAUAUUAUUAUA
rnacentral:lncRNA from 1 species